UAGGGAAUCUUCGGCAAUGGGGGGAACCCUGACCGAGCAACGCCGCGUGAGUGAAGAAGGUUUUCGGAUCGUAAAGCUCUUUUGUUAAGGAAGAACGAGUGUGAGAAUGGAAAGUUCAUACUGUGAUGGUACUUAACCAGAAAGGGACGGCUAACUACGUGCCAGCAGCCGCGGUAAUACGUAGGUCCCGAGCGUUGUCCGGAUUUAUUGGGCGUAAAGCGAGCGCAGGCGGUUAGAUAAGUCUGAAGUUAAAGGCAGUGGCUCAACCAUUGUAGGCUUUGGAAACAGUUUAACUUGAGUGCAGAAGGGGAGAGUGGAAUUCCAUGUGUAGCGGUGAAAUGCGUAGAUAUAUGGAGGAACACCGGUGACGAAAGCGGCACUCUGGUCUGUAACUAACGCGGAGGCUCGAAAGCGUGGGGAGCGAACAGG
rnacentral:rRNA from 1 species